GACCUAAACCUCGAGGAUUCGUCCUUGGGGCAUGGUCGCUCAAAUCCAUUCGCAUAAAGACGGUCUCAUGAUCGGCACUAUGCGAAUGGUCAACAUCCGAAAGGUUGUUGGGCGCCCGAAAGGGUGCC
rnacentral:sRNA from 1 species